GUGGGAAGGCUCAGACAGCCAGGAUGUUGGCUUAGAAGCAGCCAUCAUUUAAAGAAAGCGUAAUAGCUCACUGGUCGAGUCGGCCUGCGCGGAAGAUGUAACGGGGCUAAGUAGUAAACCGAAGCUGCGGCAAUAUACUUUUGUAUAUUGGGUAGGGGAGCGUUCUGUAAGCGGUUGAAGGUGUGUGGUAACGCAUGCUGGACGUAUCAGAAGUGCGAAUGCUGACAUGAGUAACGAUAAAGGGGGUGAAAAACCUCCUCGCCGGAAGACCAAGGGUUCCUGUCCAACGUUAAUCGGGGCAGGGUAAGUCGACCCCUAAGGCGAGGCCGAAAGGCGUAGUCGAUGGGAAACGGGUUAAUAUUCCCGUACUUCUUACAAUUGCGAUGGGGGGACGGAGAAGGCUAGGUGGGCCUGGCGACGGUUGUCCAGGUUCAAGUGCGUAGGCUUAAGAGUUAGGUAAAUCCGGCUCUUUUUAAGGCUGAGACACGACGUCGAGCUGCUACGGCAGUGAAGUCAUUGAUGCCAUGCUUCCAGGAAAAGCCUCUAAGCUUCAGAUUGUAAGGAAUCGUACCCCAAACCGACACAGGUGGUCGGGUAGAGAAUACCAAGGCGCUUGAGAGAACUCGGGUGAAGGAACUAGGCAAAAUGGUACCGUAACUUCGGGAGAAGGUACGCUCUUGAUGGUGAAGUCCCUCGCGGAUGGAGCUGACGAGAGUCGCAGAUACCAGGUGGCUGCAACUGUUUAUUAAAAACACAGCACUGUGCAAAAUCGUAAGAUGACGUAUACGGUGUGACGCCUGCCCGGUGCCGGAAGGUUAAUUGAUGGGGUUAGACUUCGGUCGAAGCUCUUGAUCGAAGCCCCGGUAAACGGCGGCCGUAACUAUAACGGUCCUAAGGUAGCGAAAUUCCUUGUCGGGUAAGUUCCGACCUGCACGAAUGGCGUAAUGAUGGCCACGCUGUCUCCACCCGAGACUCAGUGAAAUUGAAAUCGCUGUGAAGAUGCAGUGUACCCGCGGCUAGACGGAAAGACCCCGUGAACCUUUACUACAGCUUGGCACUGAACAUUGACCCUACAUGUGUAGGAUAGGUGGGAGGCUUUGAAGCACGUACGCCAGUAUGUGUGGAGCCGUCCUUGAA
rnacentral:rRNA from 1 species